rnacentral:rRNA from 1 species
AACGAACGCUAUCGGUAUGCUUAACACAUGCAAGUCGGACGGACUAAUUAGGGCUUGCUCCCCUUAGUUAGUGGCAGACGGGUGAGUAACACGUGGGAAUCUGCCCAUCAGUACGGAAUAACUUUUAGAAAUAAAAGCUAAUACCGUAUAUUCUCUACAGAGGAAAGAUUUAUCGCUGAUGGAUGAGCCCGCGUCAGAUUAGGUAGUUGGUGAGGUAACGGCUCACCAAGCCGACGAUCUGUAGCUGGUCUGAGAGGAUGAUCAGCCACACUGGGACUGAGACACGGCCCAGACUCCUACGGGAGGCAGCAGUGGGGAAUAUUGGACAAUGGGCGAAAGCCUGAUCAAGCAAUACCGAGUGAGUGAUAAAGGCCCUAGGGUUGUAAAGCUCUUUUAGCAAGGAAGAUAAUGACGUUACUUGCAGAAAAAGCCCCGGCUAACUCCGUG